UUUUAUAGUUAAAUUGUUAUUAUAAUCAAAAAUUUUAUUAAUAAGGUGAAAUUUUUAAUAAAAAUAAGAUUAUUUAAAUUUAUAUUGAAGCUAUUAAAUUUUAAUUUUAAACUAGGAUUAGAUACCCUACUAUUUUAAAAGUAAAUUAAUAAAUUAGGUAGUAAUAGUUAUAUUCUUGAAACUUAAAAAAUUUGGCGGUAUUUUAAUCUAUUUAGAGGAACCUGUCCUAUAAUUGAUAGUCCACGAUAAAUUUUACAUAACUUAUUAGUUUAUAUAUCGUCGUUAUUCAGAAAAUUUUAUAAGAAUUUUAAUUUUCAAAAAUUUUUAUUAUAAUUUAUUUCAGAUCAAGGUGUAGCUUAUAGUUAUGAAGAGAUGGGUUACAAUAAAUUUAUUUAUAUGAAUAAUAAAAUGAAUUUUUUUAUUUGAAGGUGGAUUUAAAAGUAAUUUAAAUAAUGUAGUUUAAUUGACUUUGGCUCUAAAAUAUGCACAUAUCGCCCGUCGCUCUCUUUAAUUUUAAAAAGAGAUAAGUCGUAACAAAGUAGGUGUACUGGAAAGUGUACCUAGAAUGAC
rnacentral:rRNA from 1 species